rnacentral:lncRNA from 1 species
UUUCUUUCUUUUAUCCAGGGAAAGACCAUGUUUGUAGAUUUAUUGGCUGUGGGAGGAAUGAUCGAUUCAACUAUGUGGUCAUGCAGUUGCAGGGUCGGAAUCUGGCAGAUCUACGCCGUAGCCAGUCCCGGGGCACGUUCACUAUUAGCACUACUCUUCGGUUGGGUAGACAGAUUCUGGAGUCUAUCGAGAGCAUCCAUUCUGUGGGAUUCUUACACCGAGACAUCAAACCGUCGAACUUCGCCAUGGGUCGCUUUCCUAGUACAUGUAGGAAAUGUUACAUGCUUGAUUUUGGCUUGGCUCGACAAUUUACCAAUUCCUGUGGUGACGUCAGACCAG